AUGAACGCUGGCGGCGUGCCUAAUACAUGCAAGUCGAGCGAACAGACGAGGAGCUUGCUCCUCUGACGUUAGCGGCGGACGGGUGAGUAACACGUGGAUAACCUACCUAUAAGACUGGGAUAACUUCGGGAAACCGGAGCUAAUACCGGAUAAUAUAUUGAACCGCAUGGUUCAAUAGUGAAAGACGGUUUUGCUGUUACUUAUAGAUGGAUCCGCGCCGCAUUAGCUAGUUGGUAAGGUAACGGCUUACCAAGGCAACGAUGCGUAGCCGACCUGAGAGGGUGAUCGGCCACACUGGAACUGAGACACGGUCCAGACUCCUACGGGAGGCAGCAGUAGGGAAUCUUCCGCAAUGGGCGAAAGCCUGACGGAGCAACGCCGCGUGAGUGAUGAAGGUCUUCGGAUCGUAAAACUCUGUUAUUAGGGAAGAACAAAUGUGUAAGUAACUAUGCACGUCUUGACGGUACCUAAUCAGAAAGCCACGGCUAACUACGUG
rnacentral:rRNA from 1 species